rnacentral:rRNA from 1 species
AAUGAACGCUGGCGGCAGGCCUAACACAUGCAAGUCGAACGGAUCCUUCGGGAUUAGUGGCGGACGGGUGAGUAACGCGUGGGAACAUACCCAAAGGUACGGAAUAGCCUCGGGAAACUGGGAGUAAUACCGUAUGUGCUCGAAAGAGGAAAGAUUUAUCGCCUUUGGAUUGGCCCGCGUUGGAUUAGGUAGUUGGUGGGGUAAUGGCCUACCAAGCCGACGAUCCAUAGCUGGUUUGGGAGGAUGAUCAGCCACACUGGGACUGAGACACGGCCCAGACUCCUACGGGAGGCAGCAGUGGGGAAUCUUAGACAAUGGGGGAAACCCUGAUCUAGCCAUGCCGCGUGAUCGAUGAAGGCCUUAGGGUUGUAAAGAUCUUUCAGUGGGGAAGAUAAUGACGGUACCCACAGAAGAAGCCCCGGCUAACUCCGUGCCAGCCGCCGCAGUAA